CGAUCUAACGGGGCAAUUCUGAUUUCAACCAUCCAAUUUUACUAAAACUGGUCCAAACCAAAUCCAAAUCAGGUCUGCCUACCGAGCAGCAAGUCGACCAGGCCGAUUUGACACCCCUUGAGAUAGAAUUGGGGAGCAAGCAUGCAGACUCUGGCCCCACGCAUUGAUGUCAUGUCUAAUCUCAAAAAACGAAAGAGAAAAAAAUAAUAUUUUU
rnacentral:lncRNA from 1 species